rnacentral:rRNA from 1 species
AGAACGAACGCUGGCGGCAUGCCUAAUACAUGCAAGUCGAACGAACUCUUCGGAGUUAGUGGCGCACGGGUGCGUAACGCGUGGGAAUCUGCCCCUUGGUUCGGAAUAACAGUUGGAAACGACUGCUAAUACCGGAUGAUGACGAAAGUCCAAAGAUUUAUCGCCAAGGGAUGAGCCCGCGUAGGAUUAGCUAGUUGGUGAGGUAAAGGCUCACCAAGGCAACGAUCCUUAGCUGGUCUGAGAGGAUGAUCAGCCACACUGGGACUGAGACACGGCCCAGACUCCUACGGGAGGCAGCAGUAGGGAAUAUUGGACAAGUGGGCGAAAGCC